rnacentral:rRNA from 1 species
AACGAACGCUGGCGGCAGGCCUAACACAUGCAAGUCGAACGCCCUCUUCGGAGGGAGUGGCAGACGGGUGAGUAACGCGUGGGAACCUUCCCUGUGGUACGGAAUAACUCAGAGAAAUUUGAGCUAAUACCGUAUACGCCCUUCGGGGAAAGAGUUUAUCGCCAUAGGAUGGGCCCGCGUCGGAUUAGCUAGUUGGUGAGGUAAUGGCUCACCAAGGCAACGAUCCGUAGCUGGUCUUAGAGGAUGAUCAGCCACACUGGGACUGAGACACGGCCCAGACUCCUACGGGAGGCAGCAGUGGGGAAUAUUGGACAAUGGGCGCAAGCCUGAUCCAGCCAUGCCGCGUGAGUGACGAAGGCCUUAGGGUUGUAAAGCUCUUUUGGCGGGGACGAUAAUGACGGUACCCGCAGAAUAAGCCCCGGCUAACUUCGUG